rnacentral:rRNA from 1 species
CCUACGGGAGGCAGCAGUGGGGGAUAUUGCACAAUGGGGGAAACCCUGAUGCAGCGACGCCGCGUGAGCGAAGAAGGCCUUCGGGUCGUAAAGCUCUGUCCUAAGGGAAGAUAAUGACGGUACCUUAGGAGGAAGCCCCGGCUAACUACGUGCCAGCAGCCGCGGUAAAACGUAGGGGGCGAGCGUUGUCCGGAAUUACUGGGCGUAAAGGGUGCGUAGGCGGCUAUUUAAGUCAGAUGUAAAAGGCUCCGGGUCAACCGUAGUGAGAAUUUGAAACUGAAUAGCUUGAGUCAAGGAGAGGGAAGUGGAAUUCCUGGUGUAGCGGUGAAAUGCGUAGAUAUCAGGAGGAAUACCAGUGGCGAAGGCGACUUCCUGGCCUUAGACUGACGCUGAGGCACGAAAGCGUGGGGAGCAAACAGGAUUAGAUACCCUGGUAG